rnacentral:rRNA from 1 species
UACGUAGGGGGCAAGCGUUGACCGGAUUUAUUGGGCGUAAAGAGCGUGUAGGCGGCCAGGUAGGUCUGCUGUGAAAACUCGAGGCUUAACCUCGAGCUGUCGGCGGAAACCAUCUGGCUAGAGUCCGGAAGAGGAGAAUGGAAUUCCCGGUGUAGCGGUGAAAUGCGCAGAUAUCGGGAAGAACACCCGUGGCGAAGGCGGUUCUCUGGGACGGUACUGACGCUGAGACGCGAAAGCGUGGGGAGCGAACAGG